AUACGUUCAACCAAUCUUUUGCAAGCAUGUAAAGUGUGCUUUCCCACAAGAUUAGGCUCCACAAGGUGACUAGUUCUCAUAUGCUUCAGAGUCUGAACUUCUGCUUUAGGUUGCAUAUAUUCUGAUGCUUUAAAAAUCUUUCACCCGACUUUGAAAUCUUCUCAAGAUCGGCAUUGAAGUCUCGGAUUUGAACAGCAAUCUUAUGACGCUUCUGAACAACAGGAAUGCAGGUG